rnacentral:snRNA from 1 species
AUCAGUUCUCAGCCUUUUGCCUAAGAUCAAGAAUAGUAU